rnacentral:rRNA from 1 species
UACGAGAGGCCCAAACGUUAUUCGGAAUUACUGGGCUUAAAGAGUUCGUAGGCGGCAUGAAAAGCAGGGUGUGAAAGCCCUCGGCUCAACCGAGGAAUUGCGCUCUGAACUGUCGUGCUUGAGGAACCUAGAGGUGAGCAGAACAGAUGGUGGAGCGGUGAAAUGCGUUGAUAUCAUCUGGAAUACCGGAGGCGAAGGCGGCUCACUGGGGGUUUCUGACGCUGAGGAACGAAAGCCAGGGUAGCGAACGGG